GAAGAUUUUAGUUUUGACGAAGGGUGAGUUGAAUCGGUUUUUCGCUCGAUUCGCAGAGCUUAUUUAGGAUUGAAACCCUAUUUCACAUCUUGUUAGUCUUCUUCAUUUCACCAAAUUUCCAAUAAUGCGCUCAUGAACGGAUUUUCUUUUGUUUAUCUUCUUCUUUGGCUUCAAAUUUGUUUUGCCUUGAUUUUCUUGCCUUGAAAUUUUCUUUGCCUUUUCUUAGUUGCGGUUUUGACUUGGUUGAUAUCCAAAACUUGGAGAUUUCUUUGCUUCUUACUUAAUUAUUUAUACUUAUCACAUAUCUUCUUAACGGCACCUUCAAGCACUACUCCCGAAAAAUCAAGUUGUGUUGCCAAAUCAAGUUGGGUUUAAAAUUGUGACAUUUGGGAAAUUUCAAAAAAAUAAAUUAGAUUUAGAAAGAGAGAAAUAGAGAAAUUUAGAUUAAGAAAAAGAGAAUUAGAGAAAAAAAUUUGUGUAAAAAAUUUUGGGGUAAACAUUUGAGUUUGAUAAAAAACUAGCCGUUGGCGAUAGAAUUAACAUUUGUGUUUAUCGCUGGCGUUAUUCAUAAUAUCGACACUAGAAACUCUGUCGCUCAGUGAUUUUUCCGUAGUGGUACAAUCCGUUUACCAUGCCGCCUGGUAUGUCAAACAUCAUUUUUCGGCAUGUGCAGGAAUAGGCCUAAACAAUGGUCAUUUGGUAAAAACCUUGUUUUCUCCUUCAUAUUGAUCAGGAGUGUUAAUCCUUCUCCCUACACGAAAGAAAAACCUAAGAACUAGAGAAGAGGAGAGCUUGUGAGAUUAUAUCAUGUAAUCAUGAUGAGGAGUUGUAUGAAGAUAUCCUUUUCCCUAUUUUCUUCUUCAUCUUGGAUGAUUUGUUAUCCAUCUUUCUCAAGACAAAAUUGUGGAUAAAUCUUUGGAGAUAUUGGUGAGAACAGGGUUAGAGUUUCAUCGAAAGUGUUGUUGUUGAAGAACUAUGGAGUGGGAUUGCAAGCAAAGGGCAAUGGGUAAUUCGCAAGGAACAUCAAUUUUAUGUAUAAAUGCCUUUAUUUGAGAAUUUUAAAAUUAGGGUUCAUCAUGAAAUUUAGGGAAUUCAAUAGAAACCAUGUUCUUCUAUGAAAAUAUGGAUUGGGUAUUUUGGUUUGUUGCUUAAUUUGUGGUUAAAAAGAUCUUGGUAAGAAAUUGCAUGAUUUGAUUAUAAAUCGAACUUUGAGAACCCUAGAAUCUUUGUUUUUUUUUUUUCUAAUGAUAUCUUUAAAUUUAACUGUUGGAAUAUAUGAAAUUUGAGUAUGUCGUAGUUUAUCUUGUUAUAGGAGUACAGUAAAAAUUUUAUGCGGAUCAGGUCACCUUUGCUACUUCAAAGCUUGCACAAGAUAUGACUGGUCUGUAGAGUUUAAAUCCCGAAUAGGGGACUGAUUCCUAAUUAUCUCAUUCUCCGCUCGUCGGAUAAAGCUGAAAUUUUAGUAUGAUGUUUGUAUCUAUGUAGGUAACCUACUUUAGAAAUUUCAUGACGUUCUGAUGACUUUAGGUACACCAAAGUGUGAGGAAAUCAUAACUGAAUUCUGUGUGUUUAUACCAAAAUCAGCCAUGUUGUAAUGCGCAUAUCUUUAUAACCGUUAGAAUGUGCUGAUUUUCGAAUAUGUUGUGGUAACCUGAGUUAUAAAACUACUGUAAAAUUUUCAAGACGAUCGAAUGUCAUUUGUUACUAAAAGGUGUUGCUAUACUGUGACUUAAUUUCGUAAAGCACUGACAGUCAUGUUUACAUUAAUAUGAACGGUUGAUGGUGUAUAAUGAGCAAAAGGACCUGUUUUGAUGUCCAA